UAGUGAAACAAUUUUAGAUUGUAACAGAAGAGUUUAACUUCUUUAAAAAGUUAUAGUGGAGUGGAUGUGAUACUAAUGAGGCAAAAUCUUUAGCUGACCAUUUUGGUAUCACCAAGACUCACAGCAACUUGACUAGUAGCUUCUGGUGGCCAAAUAUGAAAUUGGAUGUGGUUAAUUUUGUAAAAUGUUGUGAUAUUUGCCAGCGUAGCUACACAAGAUUUGACAAAACUAACAAUGAGUUGCAUUCAAUUCCUAUUCCAACAAAGGUAUGGACACAAAUAGGUGUUGAUUUAAGUGCUUUGCCUGAAAGUGAGGAUGGCUAUUAAUACAUUGCUGUAGCAGUUGAUUAUUUCAGCAAAUAUAUUGUUGCCAUGCCUUCAAAAGAUAAAACGGCAAAAUCGGUAUCACGCUUCCUUUACUCGUUAUUAUGCACACAUGGUAGGGCAAAAAAUCAAAUUAAUGAUCAACGACGUGAGUUUGUGAAUGAAAUAAGCAAUAAUUUUCACAAACUCAUAGGGACCAUGCAGAGGGUGACAAGUGCUUAUCACCCUCAAGCAAAUGGCAUGUUUGAAAGAGUGAAUAGGACAAUCCAAAAUGCACUACUAAAGUGUAUUAAGGAUGAUCAAUUAAUUUGGACAGAUCCCUGCCUGGCAUAAUAUUUGCCUUUAUUUAUAUUGCAAACGCAUUUCUUA